GACGAACGCUGGCGGCGUGCUUAACACAUGCAAGUCGAACGGAAAGGCCCUGCUUGCAGGGUACUCGAGUGGCGAACGGGUGAGUAACACGUGGGUGAUCUGCCCUGCACUUCGGGAUAAGCCUGGGAAACUGGGUCUAAUACCGGAUAGGAGCCAGUUUUAGUGUGAUGGUUGGAAAGUUUUUUCGGUGUAGGAUGAGCUCGCGGCCUAUCAGCUUGUUGGUGGGGUAAUGGCCUACCAAGGCGGCGACGGGUAGCCGGCCUGAGAGGGUGGACGGCCACAUUGGGACUGAGAUACGGCCCAGACUCCUACGGGAGGCAGCAGUGGGGAAUAUUGCACAAUGGGCGCAAGCCUGAUGCAGCGACGCCGCGUGGGGGAUGACGGCCUUCGGGUUGUAAACUCCUUUCGCUAGGGACGAAGCUUUUUGUGACGGUACCUAGAGAAGAAGCACCGGCUAACUACGUG
rnacentral:rRNA from 1 species